GACGAACGCUGGCGGCGUGCUUAACACAUGCAAGUCGAACGGAAAGGCCCUUUCGGGGGUACUCGAGUGGCGAACGGGUGAGUAACACGUGGGUGAUCUGCCCUGCACUUCGGGAUAAGCUUGGGAAACUGGGUCUAAUACCGGAUAGGACUACGAAUCGCAUGGUUUGUGGUGGAAAGCUUUUGCGGUGUGGGAUGGGCCCGCGGCCUAUCAGCUUGUUGGUGGGGUGAUGGCCUACCAAGGCGACGACGGGUAGCCGGCCUGAGAGGGUGUCCGGCCACACUGGGACUGAGAUACGGCCCAGACUCCUACGGGAGGCAGCAGUGGGGAAUAUUGCACAAUGGGCGCAAGCCUGAUGCAGCGACGCCGCGUGGGGGAUGACGGCCUUCGGGUUGUAAACCUCUUUCACCAUCGGCGAAGCCGGGAGCUU
rnacentral:rRNA from 1 species